AACAAACUUAAUCUAACUACCUACCUAAAAGACAAACUACAUUAAGACCAAAAUGAAAAAAUCUACACCUGUGUACAUUCCCCUUCCCCUAAACUAAUAAGGACAAAACAAAUUUGUUUGAUAAACCAUUGAUUUGUAAAAUCAUGAUACAUCAAAUGAUAUAUCAGGUGUGGUUAGGUGGUAUGUGAAGUACAUCACAUGCUCUUUCACGAGCAAUUAAAUUGAAAAGCUGCAGAGACAAUUUUCAAGUCACAUUUUUUGAUGAACUUGCAUCCGUAAAUCGGUUGAGUGAUUCCUUACUGCAAAUAACUGAUAUGAUUCCCUUGUACAGUAUCAAUAAAUGAUACUUACAAAUGAUACUUACCAAGGUGUAAGUUUUGAGAUAACGUCUUUCGAUCUGUUUAGAAAAGAAGGUUCAUGUAUUAGACAUAAAUGAUAAACGUACUUUUGUUUAUUAUGUUCUCUCUUCUGAUCUUGAAACUGAUAUUUUACAACCACUAGUCUCCCUACUACUAAUAUGGGAUGUAUUAGGCGCUUUUAAAAAAAAGAGUGGUAUCCAUAUCGGAAAAUACACCAUGAAAGGAAUGCUUCUAAAAUAAUGCUUCCCGAGAAGUACUAUCUCCCAAAAGUACUAUUACUAUUAAGAUAUAGUAUAAUACGUCAUUGUUCUAACAAUGUGACGACAACCUUGUUAAUAUGCAGUAUUAAAACGAGCCCUCGGGUAAAGAAAAUAACGUAUGACCAAUUAUCAUAUGACGCCCUUUUCGUAAUAAUGGGCCUACAUUUCUAACACCCGGCGUUUUUUUUUAACGAACAAACCUCUUUCCAAAAUAAUUAUCUUAUUUUUUAUCUAUUAUGUCGUAAAAAUACAUUCUUUAGCCGACGACGCUAAUGGUCUUCAUUUUUUUCUCUAAGACGCGUACCUUGUUUAGCCCGUUUGAGCUCAAGGACAAUAUAACUUAUCAGUUUGGCAAAUAAAACAAAAGCAUUUAUAGGUCAAUCAAGUCAUGAUUACUCAAAUUUGCUUAUUUAUUUACAAAAUCCUCCUACUAAUCUAUUUUUAUUUCGUACAACCUUCAACUAUUGUUUAUUUGCAACUUAGUCCCUUUCCACCCCUAUAGAUACCAUCAUAUUUUCUCACUCAAAGGCCGGAACCCCCCAUCAUUCUACUCUCUCUCUAAAAAAAAAAGCUCUCAUUCACUCACUUUCUCUAAAAAAAUCAGUAAAAAAGGAAAAAAUAUAGUUCAUUCAAGUCAAAAAAUAUUUUUAGUUAAAGUGAAAUCAGAAAAAAAAAAAAAAAUAAUAAGUUUUUAGUUUAAUUAAUAUCAAUAUUCAGAAAAUCAAAAAAAGAAGUUAUUUAAUUUUCUUGGACAAUUCACUUUGCAGUCACUUUUUUUUAAUUUCAAUUGAUCAUUUGGAUUAAUCUCUCAAACAUUGCUAGUCAGAGCCAAAGGGCACUAUACGUGCCGGUUACCUAAUUUGGAAACCAACUAGAAUUUGACAGACCACGGGCGAGAUUCGAGAGUGAGUGUACGUGGAGUGUGUUUUUAUUUAUGUAGGUUGAUCACCAAAAAAAAAAUAUUUUUCUCAAAAUGAAGUUAAAGUGAGAAGGUGCAUAAGAAAAUUCAAGAGAAAGAUGGUGGAACUUUAGUACUAGUCAAUUUCUUCAUUUUCCAUUUUUUUUGUCAAUUUGGUUGAUAAUUAUAUAAAAUAUCGUCACUUUUCAAAAUUCACAAAAGAAUUUUUUUACAGAAACUUGAAGUAUUUAUAAGACCACUACAUUUGAAAUUUUUCAAAAAUAAUUAAGUUUUAGAAAAAUCACAAUAAAUCCUAAACUUCAGACUAGCAAAACUGUCUUUUUCAGGUUCCGAUUUCUUAUUUGGUGAAAUUCGACCAGGUUAACUUAUUAUUUUCGAAAAUCUCAAAGAAUAUCAUAGAAAGACAAAAUACUAAGCUUUCUAAAUUGACCUCUCUCACCUCCACACGAUUUUUAUUCAAUUUUAUAGAAUAUUUUCAAAAACAGAAAUCUAGGAAGACAGUUUCUUGAAAAUGACAGUUUCAAAUAAAUGAGUUUUAUUUUAUUAAAAAUAUUAAAUAAACUUUAAAAUCUGAGAUUUUUAUACACAUGACUCCAAAAUGUUUCUAAAGUCCAUUUUAAAAAUAAAAACGUGAUUUUGUUUUCCAACAAUUAAUUUAUAAUUUAAUUUGACUUCAAGGUCUAAAAAAGGAGCAGCUUUAAAGAAAAAUUAUUUAUAAAUUAUUUACUUUUGAUUUUGAACCCAUUUUUUAACACGUUAAAUAAAAAUCUUAUAUCUUUCCAAAAAAGUAUUAAACGCUCAAAUCCGAGUUCGGGAGGUCAUGGUACCAAAAUUAAAGUUCAACGAGAUGUAAUUUUCUCAACAGUUUUUUUUAAAGGAAAAUUGGUUUUCUCUUAUAAAAUUCGAUUUCCCCAAAAUAAAAUUCUAUUUUUCUUAAAUAACAGAUUAUGUAUUUUUAAAUACUCCAAACCCUUUACCACUUCGUUAUACUUACCUAAAAUCCAUUUAGGUUGAGUUAAGUAAAGUGGAAAAUUCUAAAUAAAUCAAAAUAUAGGUUUUGUUUACUUAGAUCCCUACUUUCCAAACAUCCAAAGCGAAGAAAUAUGAAGACUAAUCAAGGCAACAUGGUUCAAGGCGAAGGGAUCAAGACUUGAAGCUGCUCAUUAGAUAGGAAUUAUGAUUAUUGUAACAUUUAUUGUACUUAUGGCAAUUGUAAACUAAAGUUCCACCAUCAAAUUAAUAAAACAAUAAAGGAAUUAUCUUA